AGUCACCAGCUCAACCAGGGAAGGAAACGCACCACCCUGCUAGCCCUGCUUCAGCCUUGGGUGAGGCUGUGAAGGCUGGUGGUAAGCCGAUGAAAGAUAAUCCAAAGAAAUGAAAGUGAGGGUGAUGAGUAGGAGAGCGGUUUGGGGCUGAGGGUACGAAGAUGCCAUGAUGACUGACUUAACCACAUCAAACUAAACCAUGUCUCCUACUACAAUUCACCAGCCUGAAAUUGUGAGAGGAUCUCGGGCGCGGAGAUUUCGCUGGCUAAGGGGCACCCUGUGUGCCUACAAGAGGAGGUGGGAGGGAAGUUAACCUUGCGUUGUCCUCCAGGGCGCAAAUCCAAAAGUGGGAAAAAGGGGAAGUUCUUUGAUCUGAAGUAGAAAAAGUCGGGGAGAGAAGGAGAAACACCCAGAAUGGCAACAAAUUUGAUGAAAUCAGAGGGACAAAAAGAAGAGAAGGGUAUUAAGAUCAGAUCUUCUGAAGGGCAGAGAACUAUAAUGACACAGUUGCUUUAUUGCUGGACCCAGGACAGUUUAUACAGCAGUUCGGAAAGGCCUCUUGAGGGGUUAUCUGUGUCAGCCCAGCCUAGCAUCGAUAGAAACAUGAAUCUCUGGGAAAUUAUCUUGUGCCUCAGACUUCAAAGUACAUAGAGAUUUGAACAGCCUUGAAGUCGAUAGGAAAACUUUCAGCAUUUGAUCAGUCGAAUUAUCCCACCAUAACUCUGCAAGUUCUUGAGCCACAUCUAGAAAGAACAAGGCAAGUUAGGGAAAAAUCAUCAUUUAACAUGUCAUUUCUUUCCUCAUUUCUACCCAAAUGAUCUUUAGGUCUCAAUUCCUGCUCCUGUUGUCGUUUUUGCAACCAGGAAGCUGUGAGACCUUUGGGUUAUCUUUAGAGUGAGACCCUCUAGAAGGUUUUAGGCCGAGCCUUGGGCUGGGUGAUGAGAUGGCAUUGACUGUGGGCUGACUAUUGCUUUGGAGUUGUGAGAAUUUCCUCUCUGC
rnacentral:lncRNA from 1 species